rnacentral:rRNA from 1 species
GACGAGCUCUCCAAACGUUAUUCGGUAUCACUGGGCUUAAAGAGUUCGUAGGCGGUCUGGUAGGUGAGGUGUGAAAUCCCUCGGCUCAACCGGGGAACUGCGUCUGAUACUGGAUGGCUUGAAUUCGGGAGAGGGAUGCGGAAUUCCAGGUGUAGCGGUGAAAUGCGUAGAUAUCUGGAGGAACACCGGUGGCGAAGGCGGCAUCCUGGACCGAGAUUGACGCUGAUGCGCGAAAGUCAGGGGAGCAAACGGG